GAUUAAUUACGGUGGGUUUUUCUGUGUGGUUUUUUUGGUCAACAGAUGACGCCACUUUCCACUCAGUAGGAGUACUAAGUGGCGGGGCGAAACCAGCCGUUCCACCGGCUGCCCACCCCGGCGGAGGGGUCGCCCGGAUGGUGGAGGACGGGGAUGGACGGGCGGGCCCGGACCCCACCAUAAAUAUUUUCCAGGGGUGUGACCAGAGGUACGAACCCGGGACUUCCAGAGUGGAAAGCCGAAGCGUUUCCACGCGGCUAAUCCGGCCGACCAUCUGUGUAGUUCUUCUUGGCUUUCCACUCGGUGCUACUAAACGGCGGGAUGCCCGCCUGCCGGUGGAAUCGGCCGUCGG
rnacentral:lncRNA from 1 species